GGGGAAUUAGCUCAGUUGGUAGAGCACCUGCUUUGCACGCAGGGGGUCAGGAGUUCGAGUCUCCUAUUCUCCA
rnacentral:tRNA from 1 species